UACGUAGGGUGCAAGCGUUGUCCGGAAUUAUUGGGCGUAAAGAGCUCGUAGGCGGUCUGUUACGUCGGCUGUGAAAACCUGGGCUCAACCCGGGCCUGCAGCCGAUACGGGCAGGCUAGAGGUAGGUAGGGGAGAAUGGAAUUCCCGGUGUAGCGGUGAAAUGCGCAGAUAUCGGGAGGAACACCGGUGGCGAAGGCGGUUCUCUGGGCCUUACCUGACGCUGAGGAGCGAAAGCGUGGGGAGCGAACAGG
rnacentral:rRNA from 1 species